CGUCCGUUUCAAUCUGUCGGGACUCUCGAUGCGUCGAAGAGCUCCGGCGAUACGUGAGGCGUCGUCCCGUCCAGGGGCGUCCCUURAAGUGCGAAGCGCCCCGGUCGGAGUCCUCGCUCGGCGAAGUCGUCCAACCUCCGCGCGUCGGGAACUCGACGUCCGACGGAGGAUGGCGGCAUCGUUCCGCGCCCGGGCUCGUCCGGGACAAGAGAAAGGGUUUUGACUCGAAGGCUUUCCUUUGGGAGAGCUCUCCAUCC
rnacentral:misc_RNA from 1 species